rnacentral:rRNA from 1 species
GUGAACGCUGGCGGUAGGCCUAACACAUGCAAGUCGCACGGCAGCACAGUAAGAGCUUGCUCUUACGGGUGGCGAGUGGCGGACGGGUGAGGAAUACAUCGGAAUCUACUUUUUCGUGGGGGAUAACGUAGGGAAACUUACGCUAAUACCGCAUACGACCUACGGGUGAAAGCAGGGGAUCUUCGGACCUUGCGCGAUUGAAUGAGCCGAUGUCGUAUUAGCUAGUUGGCGGGGUAAAGGCCCACCAAGGCGACGAUCCGUAGCUGGUCUGAGAGGAUGAUCAGCCACACUGGAACUGAGACACGGUCCAGACUCCUACGGGAGGCAGCAGUGGGGAAUAUUGGACAAUGGGCGCAAGCCUGAUCCAGCCAUACCGCGUGGGUGAAGAAGGCCUUCGGGUUGUAAAGCCCUUUUGUUGGGAAAGAAAAGCAGCAGGUUAAUACCCCGCUGUUCUGACGGUACCCAAAGAAUAAGCACCGGCUAACUUCGUG